rnacentral:rRNA from 1 species
AACACGUAGGUAACCUGCCCUUAGGAUUGGGAUACUCCCGAGAAAUCGGGCUCAAUACCGGAUAUGAUUCCAGGGUGAGAUACCCAGGGAUAAAAGCCAUGAGCAAUCAUGGUACCUGAGGAGGGACCUGCGGCCUAUCAGCUUGUUGGUGAGGUAACGGCUCACCAAGGCCAAGACGGGUAGCCGGACUGAGAGGUCGAUCGGCCACACUGGAACUGAGACACGGUCCAG